rnacentral:lncRNA from 1 species
ACAAGAUACUGUCAGGCUUUGAGUCUGAUAGGUUUUCUCAGAAUUUAGAAAGUCUGAAACUUACACCUACAAAAGCUAAUCAAUGUUUUGUAUCUAACAGACAACUGUAAGAAUUAUAUGUCUAAGCAGUGGAUGACUCUCCGGUGCCCAGGGAGAUUGAAGUAGGAUCAUCUUCAAAGAGCGCAAAGGAAAUGGAUGGGAGACAUGUUUGGUGUUCCUAAUCAUCAAUGAUGUGUUUUAUAGAGAUCCACUUCUGUAAAGACUUCUGUGCUGGGUGAAAUACAAGCAAAGAGGAAAAAACAAUUUUUCUCCAAUUCCUUGUUUAAAAAGCCGAACAUUCGCGAAAGCAGCUGGUCCCAGAGGUGGAAUGCUCCAAAACCCCAUUUGGAGCCAAGUACGUACAUUAUGGACUCGGUCCUGACACCACUUUAUAGAGAACAGACAAUGAGUUUUGGAUCAUGUAAGUACCUUUCCUCCCUGCAAAUAAGUUCCCUUCCCCCAUUCUUGUGGAAACAUCUCAGUCUGUAUUGGAAACAGAGGAUGUAAUUUAUUUUUA